UUUUAUCACUUCCAAGUCUAAUUUGGGGAGCAAGUAAUGUUCUACACGUGUUGUACUACAUACUUCCACUGAAAAACGCUCGACUAGAUCCCCCGUUUAAUACUCUGGUUCGGCCGGAGGUUUCCCUUUUCUCUUUUUUCAUCCUACAUGUACAACUACUACCUUUAGAAAACAAAAUGACAAUCAGUCAAUUUCUUAUUGCGUGCCCUAUAUACAAACCAGCUGCCUCAAUUAAAGACAUUUUAUCCAUGCCAGAAUCCUACAUGUAAUACACACAAUGUUGAGCUAAUAAUCUGUCAUCCCACCUCAGCGGGGACAAAAUCGCGCAGACUUAACACACACUAACAAACAAAACUUAGACAAAUACUGGGAUGCAAACAUUUAUCACCAUUUUCCCCACUUGUUCAAUAUAAAUAGAUGGUGCUCUAAUCACAUUGUUGUCAAAUUCUUGAAAAUUCAGUUAAACAGUUAAACCAAUUAUCCAAUGUUAAUUAAUGCAAUUAACAGCGAUCAUUAAAUAUUUAAAUCAAUUCUAUCAUACUUGUGUCCAAAUAUGUAUGCCCAUACCUAGAAAACUAUUUGUGUUAGAAUACAGUCAUUCGUAUGAAUAAGCUAUUUUAAAAAUGCCUCAGCAAAUACAUUUUCCUCAUUAGGGCUUUAAAACCAGAGACCAUGAAACCUCUCCAGAGAAUAACUUAACACAAAUGGUAAUCUGCUCAUGUAGCAUAAACUUGAAUUUAAUCCAUAUAUUUUGCAAAUGACUUGUCAAAUCAAUUAAUCGGGUGCCAAUAAUACAAAAUAUUAACGUAUCCAUAUAGACAUACUAAUGUUACGAGGUUCAGACUUGUGUCUGUGAAUGGAAACUUUUUUUUUUGCAUACAGAGGUCACUUAAUUUCACCGACGUUUCAAACUUAAAUAUUAUUUUUCAAAAGGUUUCUGUUAACUUAAGGUGCCCAGUAUUCCGCACGUUUCAGGAAAAUUACCAGCGACUCUUAAAUUGAAAGUAACAGCAGCGCAAAUGCAGGCACAUUCACGCUGACCAACGCGGUCAUGUCAGAGGCGGAAACUAAACAUAUGGAUCGUUGGAAAUCUUUUUAAAAGACGAAUAAAAAGUAUCUCCCUUGAAGGUAAAAAAUCAACAAAUAACCGAAGCUCGCACAGAUCUAACAAGCAUUCAACCUCAGAGAAACGUCUAAACUCAUGGCACUCAUUUUUUUAGGAGCUCAAAACAAAUUUGAGACAAAGAUUUUGGAUGUUGGGAAUGAAGUUUAUUGUUUGGAUGGAUCUGGGAACCAACAUCAAAAUCUUGAACUUGACAGACUCUGAGUGCUCCAUUUGGUAGGUGUUUACAAACAACCAGGCCGCAUCUCCUGUACCACCUUUCUCCAGCUACCGGGACCAUGUUACAAAUAUUACAACAAUUCAAAUUCAUACAUUCUGUAAACAGCUAUCCAACUGGAAACCGUUGAGAUUACGAGUCUGUGAUGCUUCAGUUAAAGAGGAAAAUGUCUUCUGAUGGAUUGCCUUGUAAUCGCAACAUGUUCUAUAACAAUAAUUCUUAGCCCUUUCCUUAGGGGACUCAAGUUACUUUGAAGGAAAAUGAAUUAUACUAGAGAGAAAAAAGAAGUUUGUAUGCGGACCGAUAUCUUCCAGCUCCCUCCAGUUCACACAUUGUUGCUCCAUUUCCCGUGAUGUGAUGAAUGAGAUCCGCAACUCAUUCUCCUCAUUCAAAUCCUCACUGGAACAUAAUUCAAUCGUGCCACAUGGAGAACGGGGCAAUUUUACACAACACGCAAGGAGAAGUUCUAAAGAGUAAAAAGGGGAGACAGCAGAACAUCGCUCAAUAAUAAAGGUCACACCAAUCAGUAUAUUCUUCGAUAAAAGGAUAAUAUCCUAGUCCAAAGCUACAUUAAGACAGUGACUGCAAGAAAUAAAGCUUAACUUGAAGUUUAGCAUGCUCCAAAGUAUUGACCAUUCUACAACGUUUUAGAUAAAUGGCAAUGCGAUUGUAAUAUUCUUUGAAUAUAAAUAAUUAUAUUAUCAUUAAUAUUAUGACAAUUAUAUUUUUAUCGACUUCUGAAUGAUUUUAUUCGGUUUGAUAAUGAUAUGUUUAAUCAUUUAAACAAAUUGUCGAUAUUCAAUUAAAUGUUGUAUUAACAUUUGUUUGUAUGGAAGCUAGAAUGAAUGUUGAGUUUCGUGCGAUAACCUCAAUAGACAAUAGACAAUAGAUGAGGGGUAGGCCAUUCGGCCCUUCGAGCCAGCACCGCCAUUCACUGUGAUCAUGGCUGAUCAUCCACAAUCAGUACCCCGUUCCUGCCUUCUCCCCAUAUCCAUUGACUCAGCUAUCUUUAAGAGCUCUGUCUAUCCUCAUCUUGAAUUGGUUCAAAAACAUUCCAGGAGCUAUUUUGUUAGCAGCACAAGUUGAUAAUAUCUGUGACAGAAGUGCGGAUAUACUUUCCGACUGUCAUUUUAAAGUAUCAUGGAUGCCAGUCUUUAACUCUAAGCGGAAGUUUAAUAUACGUGGUAGUGGUUAUCAGCCGAUGCCAAAAUGGGUGACGUAGAGACAUCAUCGAGAAUUACCAGUGGCAGUGUUAAGCUGACAUGCCCGAAUAUACAAGAUAAUCCAUCAUUAUUUGUGCUAAGGAUGUUACCAACGUUGUUGCGGUGGAGAUCUGGGGAGCAACGUUCAUAGAAUCAGGCAAUUUGUGGAUACAUCGAGUUACUUCCAUUUCUAACAAAGUGCAGACAAGUUAUUCUUCAGUUAUCAAAGGUUACACUUGUCAGUGAGCUAAUGCGACCGGAUCGUAAUGAUUUCGUAACACCCAAAUUGCCUCCAAUACUGUGUGAAUAGUUUAAAUGUCAGCUAGAGUCCUUGGUCUUCCUAGUUUUAAAUAACAUGUUUCUAUCUCUUCGAAAAGGGGAAUGCUGAAUACGCAAGUAAGCAGGGACGUUCUGCAAUUUCUCAAAAUCAGUCGAUUUCAAUCGGUGUCGUUUCUUGCUAUUGUUGCAUUCUGGAAUUGUAUUCUCCCAUAACAUAAUUAUGUUUGAUCUAAAUACCGAAUAUCAUUUUACUUCAAGUGUGAUAUAUUUCAGGCAUUAAAACACACGUACUAAAAACCCAAUGUAUUUGUGUACCCUUUUCUCCAUUGCCAUUUUAAACUGAUUUAAAAAAAACCAUUUAACGCAAAUUCAUUCAGUGGUUUUAGAAUAGCCAUUCUUCUAUUUCUGAAAUUUAAAUUGUUUCUCAAUGAUAUCCUAAAUUGCUCCAGACGCAGUUAUUUCAAUAUUAAUGUAUGUUUUACUCUAAUAUGUCCAAGUUCAUUUCGCUAACUUUAUGUUAUGCGAUUACACGAUAUCAAUGGCUAAAAUGGACAUACACUCGAGUUUCGGGUCGAGACCCUUCUUCAGACUGGUCAACGUCACCCAUUCAUUCUCUCCAGAGAUGCUGCCUGUCCCGCUGAGUUACUCCCGCAUUUUGUGUUUAAACCCAGCAUCUGCAGUUCCUUCCUACACAAUUUGAUAUAUUCUCAAGUGUAAUUAAUGCACGAACAUAGAACAUACAACAUAAAACAUAAAAGGAGUAAAGAGUCACCUCACGUUGUUUUGUACUUUUAACCAAUACAAUUUUAAUAUUAAAUCUUGAAUUAACCAUGGAAAUAGGGUGGCCUAUAAAUUGAAAAUUACUGUAAUAAUCAAAUAAGUAUCGAACAUAUGUAUCAUUAAUGUUGUGCUUAUUUCGAGAGAAGUAAUUAUUAUUUUCAGAACAUGUAAUUCUGGGCUCGAUAAUAUUCUCACACUUUUGGACAACUGAUGCGUUGUUUUUUGCAGCAGUUGUCUAUAAUGGGGCACAUACGUUGCAUGCAUAUACAAGCACACACGGAGAGCACGCAGCCAGGCUUACAACGCAUACAUAAAACAUUGCAUAUGUAUCACAUUAUACAAUGCGAAGUUUAAAAUGCUUAAACACGUAUGUAGAGGCAUAAUAUACCGCAUGUGCCCACAGAGGCUCAGCUUUCAGCUAAACAAAUAUCACGUGCACCUGCAAGUUUGUGCUAUUUACAUAUUAUAC